rnacentral:rRNA from 1 species
UACGUAGGGGGCGAGCGUUGUUCGGAUUUAUUGGGCGUAAAGAGCUCGUAGGCGGCUUAGCAAGUCGGGGGUGAAAACUCCAGGCUCAACCUGGAGACGCCACUCGAGACUGCUAUGGCUAGAGUCCGGUAGGGGACCACGGAAUUCCUGGUGUAGCGGUGAAAUGCGCAGAUAUCAGGAGGAACACCGGUGGCGAAGGCGGGUCUCUGGGCAGUAACUGACGCUGAGGAGCGAAAGCGUGGGGAGCAAACAGG